GGAGGAUCCAAGCGUUAUCCGGAAUCAUUGGGUUUAAAGGGUCCGUAGGCGGUUUAAUAAGUCAGUGGUGAAAGCCCAUCGCUCAACGGUGGAACGGCCAUUGAUACUGUUGGACUUGAAUUAUUAGGAAGUAACUAGAAUAUGUAGUGUAGCGGUGAAAUGCUUAGAGAUUACAUGGAAUACCAAUUGCGAAGGCAGGUUACUACUAAUUGAUUGACGCUGAUGGACGAAAGCGUGGGUAGCGAACAGGAUUAGAUACCCUGGUAGUCCACGCCGUAAACGAUGGAUACUAGCUGUUGGAAGCAAUUUCAGUGGCUAAGCGAAAGUGAUAAGUAUCCCACCUGGGGAGUACGUUCGCAAGAAUG
rnacentral:rRNA from 1 species